CAUACUGGACGCAGCUGAUGAGCCAUGCCGCGUGUGUGAUGAAGGUCUUCGGAUUGUAAGCAUCUUUAAGUUGGGAGGAUGGGUUGUAGAUUAAUACUCUGCACUUUUGACGUUACCGACAGAAUAAGCACCGGCAUACUCUGUGCCAGCAGCCGCGGUAAUA
rnacentral:rRNA from 1 species